rnacentral:rRNA from 1 species
UACGUAGGGUGCAAGCGUUACUCGGAAUUACUGGGCGUAAAGCGUGCGCAGGCGGCUCUGCAAGACAGAUGUGAAAUCCCCGGGCUCAACCUGGGAACUGCAUUUGUGACUGCAGGGCUUGAGUACGGCAGAGGGGGAUGGAAUUCCGCGUGUAGCAGUGAAAUGCGUAGAUAUGCGGAGGAACACCGAUGGCGAAGGCAGUCCCCUGGGCCUGUACUGACGCUCAUGCACGAAAGCGUGGGGAGCAAACAGG